AAAAAUUGAAGAAAAACAUUUAAAAUCAUUGUACACGCUUAAAAUAGCAUUUAAUUGUGUAAAAUCAAACGCCAAUGUCAAAAAAAUGACAACAACUGAUAAUCAACUCAAAAUGUUUAUAAAUGUUAUUUUCGCUCUAAAUGGCUAUUUACACUAUAUUAUUCGGUCUAAGUAUUUUUAUGAUAGCUUUAGUUAUGGCUGUAAUAAAGAAAAUGUUCUUCACAUGGACACAAGAGCAUAAAAUCGAAAGAAUGUCUGUAAAUGCUGUUGAAAGACCAGCCGUCAGCGUGAUGAUAAGCAUGGAGAAAUGUGUCAUCCAGAAAAGGAGAUAUCCCGAAGAUAUCAGCAUCUACGAUAUAAUUACAAAAAGUGACAUCAGUCUUACUAAGAAAAUCAAGCAGCAUUAAUUUAGCAUAGUUUUAGUAAUACAUUUAAUUGGUAUA